GAGAUGAAGAAUGAUGAUACAAUAUGAUAACAAAUCUAAAUAAAAGCAAAGUAAGGUAAAUGACAAUAAUUAAAUGUUCCGAGCGGAAAUUAAAAGUUAGAAGUUAGAGGGCGAAAAUAGUAGAAUUAGAAGUUAAUUGCUAGAUGUUAGGAUUAAGACAAAGAAUAUUCAAUAUCCAUAUUAAAAUCUAAAUCAAAUUCUAAUGUUAAACCAUAAACAAAAUUAAAAUUCUAAAACAAUUACAAUUAUCAAAUCUAAAACAAUUAUCAAAAAUGAAUUCUAAACCAUAUCCUAAUUCACAUUAAAAUUCUAAAACAAUUCUAAAAUAUUAAACAAUUAGCAAACCAAAAUCAAGAUUAAAAUUAAUUCAAAUCUAAUAAGUCCUAAACUAAUGAUAAUCUUAAUUCUAAAAAUCUGAUCCUAAUAUUAACUAAUCCUAAUAAAACAAAAAAUAAGAAAAUAAGAAAAGACUCAAAAAAAACAAGCAGAAUGGGCCUUGAUCUCAACUGCUAGGCCCAUACAGAGGGGGUGCAGCGUUUGGCCCGGGGUGAGGAUAGUAUGGGCCCGGGAUCUCAACUGCUAACGCCCUAGUCUCAAUGUCCUGAACCGAACAAGCCAAAAUCGUCAACCAAACACUCAGAAUCCUGACUCACAACGUCAAAUAGAAUCGGGAAUCGAAGGAACCUAACACAAUCACCUAACAUUUGAUUAACGAAUUCGCAAAAUCAGAACCCCGCACGCGAGGGCUCUGCUUCUUGAAUCAACAUCCUACACAGUUGCAACAAAAUCGGCGAGAGAUAAUGGAAGAUCAAAACUUACCGUAUGAGCAGACGAUGGAGGCGACGACGAUGAAGCAUCGAUCUCAGGUUAUAGUUGUUGAUGGAUUACGGCGGUCACCGAAACAAAGUACGCUGUGGAGUAACGACUAAAUUCCAGUUUGGAUAAAAAAUGGCCAAUGGAUCCUCCGGAAAAAAACCGAACGGUGAUGUUUAACGAAGGUGGACCUCAGAGAAAAAACGAGCCUGGAGCUUUGUUCGAACUGAAGGUCUCGCCGAAAAUGUAGAACCCCCUUCGCAGGGUUGAGGUCAAGGAAUAUAUAGGAGCAGAGUUAACAGCAGAGUUAACAAGAGUUAACUUAAUCCCUUUCAAAGUUGUUGGGUGUUAAGUAAUUCUGUUAGUUUCAAUUCAGUUAGAUUGAGUUUUGGAAUUUCGUUGUCGCUUCUGAUAUUUUCUUGGCUUAUGUAGCUUAUCUGUGUUUUGUAUCGAUUUCGCGUUCGUUUAUGCAGCGCUUUGCAGAUUGGCUUGCAAGAUGAAGUUUUCUCAUGUCGUUUAUUGCAGCUGAUGGUUUUGCUUGUGGCUUGGAUUGCGUUUUGACGCUUAGCGUGUUUUUGGAUGCAGCAGCUGAGCGUGUUGUCCUGUAUGCAGGUCAUACAUGUGCGCCGUAUUGCCCACCGGCUUGUUUGCAUUUGGUCGCCGUAUUGCGCACCGGCUUGUUUGCAUUUGGUCGCCGUUUCGGCACUAAGCCAUAGCAACUCUUGGCUUGUGAUGUCUAGUGUUGCGUUUGGUUUAAGCUGUUUGGAUUGAGUUGCAGCUUGCAGCUUGUUUGGAAGCUUGGGUUGCUGCGCGUUGCAGUUGUAGCAGCUUAUGACAGUGGUUCGUUUGUUAUUUUUUGUCUUAACAAAACAUGGAUAAUGGAUGUGGUGGAUUAAAUUGUAAUUAGAUAAUGGUUUGUUGGAUGAAAUGGAUUUAGGUUGGUAAAAUAUGGAUUAUUUGUUUUAAUGGAUUAUGGAUAAUUUGGAUGACAA